GGUCUGUAGCUCAGUGGUAGAGCACUUGCCUAGCAUAUGUGAGGCACUGAGUUUGAUCCUCAGCACCA
rnacentral:tRNA from 1 species